AGUGCAGAACAAUCAAGAGAGGCUCUGAGUUAGAUUCAAGAAGAUACCGGGGAUAGAGUGUGUGUUAAAUGACUCCAGUUCCUUUUUGUGCUUAAUGGGUAAGCUUCAUUUUCCUUAAGACGAGCAAACUUACUGUGCAAUGCUGAAUGAAUGAAGCGUUUUUAAAUCCUUACUUUGUGUUUUUCUUUUGUAGAUGGCACUGUCAGAGGUCGAGACACAGAUUGGAAAGAACUGUACAGGAAGAGGCACAGACAAAGAAAAGAAGCUCAGAGAGGGCGGCAUAUGAUGUUCCUGCCAUCAUCACCCCACCCCAUUCCCUUCUAUCCCAACCCUUUGCACCCUCGGCCUUUCCCUCCGAGCUCUCUCCUUCCUCCUGGAAUUAUUGGUGGGGAAUACGAUCAGAGACUAACACUUCCCUAUGUUGGGGACCCAAUCAAUUCACUCAUCCCUGGGCCUGGGGAGACACCUAGUCAGUUCCCUCCCCUCAGACCACGUUUUGAUCCAAUUGGCCCACUUCCAGGACCUAACCCCAUCUUGCCAGGGCGAGGUGGCCCCAAUGACAGAUUUCCCUUAAGACCGAGCAGGGGCCGGCCAACUGACAGCCGGCUGCCAUUCAUGUGAUUGAUUUGUAAUCUCAUUUCUGGAGUUUGUUUGGUUUUCUUUUUUGAAACUGCAGAUAUCAUCUUGUUGGGGGUGCCGAUCUCUUUUGAUUGUGGUGGUAAGAAAUGCACUCACAGAAGCCUUUCCGUAGAUAUAGCUAGAGCUCCAGGGGUGGUAUGGCCCAAAGGCUGCUGCCUGACAAGGUCGGCCUUGGGAAUAGUUGACAGUUUUUGACUUGCUUCUUCUGAAUUCCUCUCUAGAAUGAAGUUGUUCACUAAUAAUGUUCUGCACCAGAAUAAAGAAAAAAAAAGUGUAA